CAGCAGUCGCGAAAACUUCACAAUGGGGGCAACCCCGAUGAGGGAAUUCCAAGUGCUAGCACUUUUUGUGUUAGCUGUUCUUUUGUCUAAAAAACAAGAGAAGUAAGGGCCGGGUAAGACGGGUGCCAGCCGCCGCGGUAAUACCCGCGGCCCGAGUGGUGGUCGAUAUUAUUGAGCCUAAAACGUUCGUAGCCGGUCUUGUAAAUCCUUGGGUAAAUCGGCCAGCUUAACUGUCCGAAGUCCGGGGAGACUGCAAGACUUGGGAUCGGGAGAGGUCAGAGGUACUUCUGGGGUAGGGGUAAAAUCCUGUAAUCCUAGAAGGACCACCGGUGGCGAAGGCGUCUGACUAGAACGAAUUCGACGGUGAGGAACGAAGCCCUGGGGCGCAAACGGGAUUAGAUACCCCGGUAGUCCAGGGUGUAAACGCUGCGGGCUUGGUGUUGGGGGUCCUUAGUGGGCGCCCAGUGCCGGAGAGAAGUUGUU
rnacentral:rRNA from 1 species